rnacentral:rRNA from 1 species
CAUGAAGCUGGAUUCGCUGUAAUCGCGCAUCAGCCACGGCGCGGUGAAUACGUUCCCGGGCCUUGUACACACCGCCCGUCAAGCCAUGGAAGCCGGGAGUGCCUGAAGUGCGUGAGCGCAAGCAGCGCCCUAAGGUAAAACCGGUGACUGGGGCUAAGUCGUAACAAGGUACC